UGAGGAAUUUUGCGCAAUGGGCGAAAGCCUGACGCAGCGACGCCGCGUGGGCGAUGAAGCUUCUUGGAGUGUAAAGCCCUGUCAGGUGGGACGAAUCCGGAGGGUGCAAAUAGUGCCUUUCGCUGACGGUACCACCAGAGGAAGCCCCGGCUAACUCCGUGCCAGCAGCCGCGGUAAUACGGAGGGGGCGAGCGUUGUUCGGAAUCACUGGGUGUAAAGGGUGCGUAGGCGGUGCGUUAAGUCUGAUGUGAAAGCCCUGGGCUCAACUCAGGAAUUGCAUUGGAAACUGGCGUGCUGGAGUACGGGAGAGGGAAGCGGAAUUCCUGGUGUAGCGGUGAAAUGCGUAGAUACCAGGAGGAACACCGGUGGCGAAGGCGGUUUCCUGGCCCAGUACUGACGCUGAGGCACGAAAGCGUGGGGAGCGAACGG
rnacentral:rRNA from 1 species